rnacentral:rRNA from 1 species
GACGAACGCUGGCGGCGUGCCUAAUACAUGCAAGUCGAACGCAGUGGGGACGGGUGAGUAACACGUGGGUAACCUCCCAUCAGAGGGGAUAACACUUGGAAACAGGUGCUAAACCGAUACUGAUGGAUGGACCUGCGUGGCAUUAGCUAGUUGGUGAGGUAACGGCUCACCAAGGCCACGAUGCAUAGCCGGCGUGGGAGGAGUAUCGGCCACACUGGGACUGAGACACGGCCCAUACGCCUACGGGAGGCAGCAGUGGGGAAUCGUCGGCAAUGGACGAAAGUCUGACCGAGCAACGCCGCGUGAGUGGAGAAGGUUUUCGGGUCGUAAAACUCUGUUAUUAGAGAAGCGGUAUCUAACCAGAAAGCCACGGCUAACUACGUGCCAGCAGCCGCGGUAAUUC